rnacentral:rRNA from 1 species
GAUGAACGCUGGCGGCGUGCUUAACACAUGCAAGUCGAACGGGAAUUAUUUUAUUGAAACUUCGGUCGAUUUAAUUUACUUCUAGUGGCGGACGGGUGAGUAACGCGUGGGUAACCUGCCUUAUCCAGGGGGCUAACAGUCAGAAAUGACUGCUAAUACCGCAUAAGCGCACAGAGCUGCAUGGCUCAGUGUGAAAGACUCCGGUGGUAUAAGAUGGACCCGCGUUGGAUUAGCUUGUUGGCAGGGUAACGGCCUACCAAGGCGACGAUCCAUAGCCGGCGUGAGAAGGUUAACGGCCACAUUGGGACUGAGACACGCCCCAGACUCCCACGGGAGGCAGGAGUGGGGAAUAUUGCACAAUGGGGGAGACCGUGAUGGAGCGACGCCGCGGGAAGGAAGAAGUAUCUCGGUAUGAAAACUUCUAUCAGCAGGGAAGAUAGUGACGGUACCUGACUAAGAAGCCCCGGCUAACUACGUG